GAAAUGGCAACCUACUCCAGUGUUCUUGCCUGGAGAAUCCCAGGGAUGGGGAAGCCUGGUGGGCUGCCGUCUAUGGAGUCACACAGAGUCGGACACGACUGAAGUGACUUAGCAAUAGCAAGAAUUGGCUGGAGCUACAAACAAGCAUGCAUUCAGUUAUUUCCCUGGCCCAUCACUGUAGUAACUGCAAGAGAAUCCUCAUCCUGAAGAAGCUCAGAAAAGAUGAAAGCAGAAGCCUGAGGAACAAGCGCUGACAGAGAAUCAAGGAAAAUCUGAGCUUGUGGUGUACCAAGGAUGUGGUGGUGUACCAAGGAUGGGAUGGUGUACCAAGGAUGGGAUGGUGCAAGUGGCCACCCCUAAUAUAGAAGUAGCUCUGAGGACAUCAAAUAUGUUAAGUCUGCUCUGAUUUAUGGAGACUUUUUACUCCUGCAUUCAAUAACACCCAUGCAAUUUCGGAGGACAUAAUAAAAUUUGGUAUAAACACGAAGAUUAUCUUCAGCAUUUGCAGCAGAAAUUUUGCACUUACAUUGAUCCUGUCAGACCAUAAAGAAGGCUGAGCACUGAAGAAUUGAUGCUUUUGAACUGUGGUGUUGUAGAAG